UGGGGAAUAUUGCACAAUGGGCGAAAGCCUGAUGCAGCGACGCCGCGUGAGGGAUGACGGCCUUCGGGUUGUAAACCUCUUUCAGCAGGGAAGAAGCGCAAGUGACGGUACCUGCAGAAGAAGCACCGGCUAACUACGUGCCAGCAGCCGCGGUAAUACGUAGGGUGCGAGCGUUGUCCGGAAUUAUUGGGCGUAAAGAGCUCGUAGGCGGCUUGUCGCGUCGGAUGUGAAAGCCCGGGGCUUAACCCCGGGUCUGCAUUCGAUACGGGCAGGCUAGAGUUCGGUAGGGGAGAUCGGAAUUCCUGGUGUAGCGGUGAAAUGCGCAGAUAUCAGGAGGAACACCGGUGGCGAAGGCGGAUCUCUGGGCCGAUACUGACGCUGAGGAGCGAAAGCGUGGGGAGCGAACAGGAUUAGAUACCCUGGUAGUCCACGCCGUAAACGUUGGGAACUAGGUGUGGGCGACAUUCCACGUCGUCCGUGCCGCAGCUAACGCAUUAAGUUCCCCGCCUGGGGAGUACGGCCGCAAGGCUA
rnacentral:rRNA from 1 species